ACGGAAGGCAGCAGUGAGGAAUAUUGGUCAAUGGGUGGAAGCCUGAACCAGCCAAGUCGCGUGAGGGAGGAAGGUCCUACGGAUUGUAAACCUCUUUAGCCGGGGAGCAAUAAGCGCUACGCGUAGCGUGAUGCGAGUACCCGGAGAAUAAGGAUCGGCUAACUCCGUGCCAGCAGCCGCGGUAAUACGGAGGAUCCGAGCGUUAUCCGGAUUUAUUGGGUUUAAAGGGUGCGCAGGCGGUCGAUUAAGUCAGUGGUCAAAUCGUGGGGCUCAACUCCAUCCCGCCAUUGAUACUGGUUGACUUGAUUCCGGUCGAGGCAGGCGGAAUUCGCGGUGUAGCGGUGAAAUGCAUAGAUAUCGCGAAGAACUCCGAUUGCGUAGGCAGCUUACCAGGCCGGCAAUGACGCUCAUGCACGAAAGUGCGGGGAUCGAACAGGAUUAGAUACCCUGGUA
rnacentral:rRNA from 1 species